UACGUAGGGCGCAAGCGUUAUCCGGAAUUAUUGGGCGUAAAGAGCUCGUAGGCGGUGUGUCGCGUCGGCCGUGAAAACCUGCAGCUUAACUGUGGGCUUGCGGUCGAUACGGGCAUCACUGGAGUUCGGCAGGGGAGACUGGAAUUCCUGGUGUAGCGGUGAAAUGCGCAGAUAUCAGGAGGAACACCGGUGGCGAAGGCGGGUCUCUGGGCCGAUGACUGACGCUGAGGAGCGAAAGCGUGGGGAGCGAACAGG
rnacentral:rRNA from 1 species